GGACUACUGGGGUAUCUAAUCCUGUUUGCUACCCAAGCCUUCGUCCCUUAACGUCAGUUUGUACAUAGAGGGUUGUCUUCGCCGUUACACAUUCUAUUAGUAUCAAAAAAUUUCAUCUUUACACCAAUAGCUCUGAUAUUUACCUCUCACAUAAAACUCUAGCAAACAUGUAUACUUUUAAAGUUAAAUUUGCCGUCUAGGUACCCUUUAAACCUAAUAAAGAUGAAUAACACUAAUCUUACUUGUGUUACCGCGGCUGCUGGCAC
rnacentral:rRNA from 1 species